rnacentral:lncRNA from 1 species
CGUUGGCUUAUGAUCAUGCGCAGUGUGUCCGGAGGGUGGCGGUAGUGCGCUGAGUCAGUCCGCAUCCGCCAAAGAAGAAGAAGAAGAGGCCAGGCUUAGCAACAUUCAGAUUUAGCAACAACAACAAGCUUUGACAAAAUGUGCUUUUCUCCGUGAAACUGGGCUCGAGCGGGACUCAUGGAGGACAUUCACCCCGAGGAGCGCGCGUGGAGCCCGGGCACAGCUCUCCAGCUGCUUCUUCAGGACCUUCAUGGACCUUUAUGAAACUCGGCGAAGACGAACAAAAGCCUCCAGUAAAACAACAACACAGAAAUGCAGUUUGCAGAAAAGGAUGUGCGUCCAUUUCCCUGAACGCCAAACUCGAGGCGAAACCUGCGACGUUUUAACCAUCGCCUCCUCGGAUCCUUCGCACCAUGUAGCUCCGUGUUCCAACAUGGCUCCCACGACCCACCGCCGCCAACGGGCCCGACUCCCCGUCCAGCCAGCGCUAAAUAACAACAGUAUUCUUCCUCCUCAUUUUCCCUCCAAACCCACUUUGUUCUAAGCACUUUCACACUUCCUAUUUAAAAGCCUCCGCAUUUCAAGUACUUAUUAAAUGAAGCCACUUUCGACUGAAAAACUUUAGCAUUUCACGAGAACCUUCACUUCGGCAGCGUCUUUCCUCACGACUGAAAUCUGAAGUACGGAAACUUUCACGCCUUGUGACACAGAAGACUGAAAACUUUAAUUUAUUUUUAUUGAAGAGGUUUUUCACUUCCCUUUUCUGCCAUUUCUCAUUCGUUUUGUUUCUUCCUUAUGAAAAAAUGUGAAUUUUGCUUUGUUUUUACCGGCGGCCAUGUUGGAUGUUCAGGACUGACCUCGUCUCUGGAAAAUAAUAUCGCCAUUUUGAAUCAUUUCUGAGCGCCAUGUUGGAAACGCACGACUGUCCGACGAUAAAAGAGCGAAUUCCCUCCGGCGAUAAACGAGCAAACUCAAAGAGUGAAUUCCCGCCGAAGUUAAAAGAGCGAAAUCCCCUUUUUGCCUCCAAACGUGCGGCCGCCAUGUUGGAUCUUUGACUCCCCGUCGUCUCGCUUACGGACAAUAUGAACGGCUCGCUGCUGACCCCGCCCAGUCCCCGCGCGGCCGACUCCUCGCCGCUGCCCCCCUCACCCUCGCCCUCGCCCCCUCCCCUUCGCUUCUGCCGCUGAUCCCCCGCCCCUCCCCGCUCC